rnacentral:rRNA from 1 species
AGAGCGAACGCUGGCGGCAGGCCUAACACAUGCAAGUCGAGCGCCCCGCAAGGGGAGCGGCAGACGGGAGAGUAACACGUGGGAACGUACCCUUUGGUUCGGAACAACACAGGGAAACUUGUGCUAAUACCGGAUAAGCCCUUACGGGGAAAGAUUUAUUGCCAAAGGAUCGGCCCGCGUCUGAUUAGCUUGUUGGUGGGGUAACGGCUCACCAAGGCUACGAUCAGUAGCUGGUCUGAGAGGAUGAUCAGCCUCACUGGGACUGAGACACGGCCCAGACUCCUACGGGAGGCAGCAGUGGGGAAUAUUGGACAAUGGGCGCAAGCCUGAUCCAGCCAUGCCGCGUGGAUGAUGAAGGCCCUAGGGUUGUAAAGUCCUUUCGACGGGGAAGAUAAUGACGGUACCCGUAGAAGAAGCCCCGGCUAACUUCGUGCCAGCAGCCGC